rnacentral:rRNA from 1 species
GUACACAAAAAUGCACAUAUUGUGAGCUCGAUGAGUAGGGCGGGACACGUGGUAUCCUGUCUGAAUAUGGGGGGACCAUCCUCCAAGGCUAAAUACUCCUGACUGACCGAUAGUGAACCAGUACCGUGAGGGAAAGGCGAAAAGAACCCCGGCGAGGGGAGUGAAAAAGAACCUGAAACCGUGUACGUACAAGCAGUGGGAGCCUCUUUAUGGGGUGACUGCGUACCUUUUGUAUAAUGGGUCAGCGACUUAUAUUCUGUAGCAAGGUUAACCGAAUAGGGGAGCCGAAGGGAAACCGAGUCUUAACUGGGCGUUAAGUUGCAGGGUAUAGACCCGAAACCCGGUGAUCUAGCCAUGGGCAGGUUGAAGGUUGGGUAACACUAACUGGAGGACCGAACCGACUAAUGUUGAAAAAUUAGCGGAUGACUUGUGGCUGGGGGUGAAAGGCCAAUCAAACCGGGAGAUAGCUGGUUCUCCCCGAAAGCUAUUUAGGUAGCGCCUCGUGAAUUCAUCUCCGGGGGUAGAGCACUGUUUCGGCAAGGGGGUCAUCCCGACUUACCAACCCGAUGCAAACUGCGAAUACCGGAGAAUGUUAUCACGGGAGACACACGGCGGGUGCUAACGUCCGUCGUGAAGAGGGAAACAACCCAGACCGCCAGCUAAGGUCCCAAAGUCAUGGUUAAGUGGGAAACGAUGUGGGAAGGCCCAGACAGCCAGGAUGUUGGCUUAGAAGCAGCCAUCAUUUAAAGAAAGCGUAAUAGCUCACUGGUCGAGUCGGCCUGCGCGGAAGAUGUAACGGGGCUAAACCAUGCACCGAAGCUGCGGCAGCGACACUAUGUGUUGUUGGGUAGGGGAGCGUUCUGUAAGCCUGUGAAGGUGGCCUGUGAGGGUUGCUGGAGGUAUCAGAAGUGCGAAUGCUGACAUAAGUAACGAUAAAGCGGGUGAAAAGCCCGCUCGCCGGAAGACCAAGGGUUCCUGUCCAACGUUAAUCGGGGCAGGGUGAGUCGACCCCUAAGGCGAGGCCGAAAGGCGUAGUCGAUGGGAAACAGGUUAAUAUUCCUGUACUUGGUGUUACUGCGAAGGGGGGACGGAGAAGGCUAUGUUGGCCGGGCGACGGUUGUCCCGGUUUAAGCGUGUAGGCUGGUUUUCCAGGCAAAUCCGGAAAACCAAGGCUGAGGCGUGAUGACGAGGCACUACGGUGCUGAAGCGACAAAUGCCCUGCUUCCAGGAAAAGCCUCUAAGCAUCAGGUAACAUCAAAUCGUACCCCAAACCGACACAGGUGGUCAGGUAGAGAAUACCAAGGCGCUUGAGAGAACUCGGGUGAAGGAACUAGGCAAAAUGGUGCCGUAACUUCGGGAGAAGGCACGCUGAUAUGUAGGUGAAGCGACUUGCUCGUGGAGCUGAAAUCAGUCGAAGAUACCAGCUGGCUGCAACUGUUUAUUAAAAACACAGCACUGUGCAAACACGAAAGUGGACGUAUACGGUGUGACGCCUGCCCGGUGCCGGAAGGUUAAUUGAUGGGGUUAGCGGUAACGCGAAGCUCUUGAUCGAAGCCCCGGUAAACGGCGGCCGUAACUAUAACGGUCCUAAGGUAGCGAAAUUCCUUGUCGGGUAAGUUCCGACCUGCACGAAUGGCGUAAUGAUGGCCAGGCUGUCUCCACCCGAGACUCAGUGAAAUUGAACUCGCUGUGAAGAUGCAGUGUACCCGCGGCAAGACGGAAAGACCCCGUGAACCUUUACUAUAGCUUGACACUGAACAUUGAGCCUUGAUGUGUAGGAUAGGUGGGAGGCUUUGAAGUGUGGACGCCAGUCUGCAUGGAGCCGACCUUGAAAUACCACCCUUUAAUGUUUGAUGUUCUAACGUUGGCCCGUAAUCCGGGUUGCGGACAGUGUCUGGUGGGUAGUUUGACUGGGGCGGUCUCCUCCUAAAGAGUAACGGAGGAGCACGAAGGUUGGCUAAUCCUGGUCGGACAUCAGGAGGUUAGUGCAAUGGCAUAAGCCAGCUUGACUGCGAGCGUGACGGCGCGAGCAGGUGCGAAAGCAGGUCAUAGUGAUCCGGUGGUUCUGAAUGGAAGGGCCAUCGCUCAACGGAUAAAAGGUACUCCGGGGAUAACAGGCUGAUACCGCCCAAGAGUUCAUAUCGACGGCGGUGUUUGGCACCUCGAUGUCGGCUCAUCACAUCCUGGGGCUGAAGUAGGUCCCAAGGGUAUGGCUGUUCGCCAUUUAAAGUGGUACGCGAGCUGGGUUUAGAACGUCGUGAGACAGUUCGGUCCCUAUCUGCCGUGGGCGCUGGAGAACUGAGGGGGGCUGCUCCUAGUACGAGAGGACCGGAGUGGACGCAUCACUGGUGUUCGGGUUGUCAUGCCAAUGGCACUGCCCGGUAGCUAAAUGCGGAAGAGAUAAGUGCUGAAAGCAUCUAAGCACGAAACUUGCCCCGAGAUGAGUUCUCCCUGACUCCUUGAGAGUCCUGAAGGAACGUUGAAGACGACGACG